rnacentral:rRNA from 1 species
AUUGAACGCUGGCGGCAUGCUUUACACAUGCAAGUCGAACGGCAGCGCGGGCUUCGGCCUGGCGGCGAGUGGCGAACGGGUGAGUAAUGCAUCGGAACGUGCCCAGUAGUGGGGGAUAGCCCGGCGAAAGCCGGAUUAAUACCGCAUACGACCUGAGGGUGAAAGCGGGGGACCGAAAGGCCUCGCGCUAUUGGAGCGGCCGAUGACGGAUUAGCUAGUUGGUGGGGUAAAGGCUUACCAAGGCGACGAUCCGUAGCUGGUCUGAGAGGACGACCAGCCACACUGGGACUGAGACACGGCCCAGACUCCUACGGGAGGCAGCAGUGGGGAAUUUUGGACAAUGGGGGCAACCCUGAUCCAGCCAUGCCGCGUGCGGGAAGAAGGCCUUCGGGUUGUAAACCGCUUUUGUUCGGGAAGAAAUCCUCUGGGCUAAUACCCCGGGGGGAUGACGGUACCGGAAGAAUAAGCACCGGCUAACUACGU